rnacentral:lncRNA from 1 species
GAUGCCAAAGUUUAUGUACAUCUGCACGACGACCAUUUUGAUAUACAUCAUGUCGUUUUACUAACUUUGACUUGGUCCAAUCUAGUUUGUCAUUACUCACAUUGUGUUACUCUUUUCAUUUAUUUUAUACUAAUAAUUCCAUGCAAACAAAAGUACUACUUUAACAUCUGGAAAGUGAUCAAAUUGAAUGCAAAAAAAUAUUGCAUCAAUCAUGGUUCUUUAAUGUCGUAC